GACGAACGCUGGCGGCGUGCCUAAUACAUGCAAGUUGAGCGCUGAAGGUUGGUACUUGUACCGACUGGAUGAGCAGCGAACGGGUGAGUAACGCGUGGGGAAUCUGCCUUUGAGCGGGGGACAACAUUUGGAAACGAAUGCUAAUACCGCAUAAAAACUUUAAACACAAGUUUUAAGUUUGAAAGAUGCAACUGCAUCACUCAAAGAUGAUCCCGCGUUGUAUUAGCUAGUUGGUGAGGUAAAGGCUCACCAAGGCGAUGAUACAUAGCCGACCUGAGAGGGUGAUCGGCCACAUUGGGACUGAAACACGGCCCAAACUCCUACGGGAGGCAGCAGUAGUGAAUCAUCGGCAAUGGAAGAAAGUCUGACUGAGCAACGCCGCGUGAGUGAAGAAGGUUUUCGGAUCGUAAAACUCUGUUGGUAGAGAAGAACAUUGGUGAGAGUGGAAAGCUCAUCAAGUGACGGUAACUACCCAGAAAAGGACGGCUAACUACGUGCCAGCCGCCGCAGUAA
rnacentral:rRNA from 1 species